rnacentral:lncRNA from 1 species
UAAAGCAUUAUAAAUUGCGUUGCGGUAAUCAACGGUUCAGGCAAGUUUCAUUUUACUUCACUCUACUAAGAGUGUUUUAUUCAAGCUUAUGGUUAAUCAUUGCUGAUUGCCAUGAAAAUUGUACUCUGUACAUCUUGCAUGUAUAAGUCAGGUAUGAAAGGCUGAUCACCUUCAUUACUAGUUGGUUUAGAAAUGUUUGUUCAUGUUUAAAACUUGUUCAGUCAAAAGUUUGUUCGUGCUAGUUCUCAAUUAUAUUGAUGAAUUAUAGCCAGCUUAUUA